UGUAGCACACACAGAGAUGGACAUCUUAGUGUCCAGACAUGCCUUCCUCCCCACAGCUCAUUGCUAACCAGCACCACGGAGCCACCACUGCCUGCCAGGGCAGUGGGGACAGCAGCUGAGGCCUGGGGGUAUUUGUCUCACCUCAGAAUUUCUCCCACCCCCUGGCCCCUUGGUGCUGCAGUUCCCACAAGAGUUAUCAGCUGUGAAAGACUGUAUCUGUUAUUUUGUUUGUUCGCCAUUUCUUUCAUGUAGCCUGUUGUGUUCCUGUCCAGGGUUGUGGGUUGUCAGUAGAGGAGGCCAUAGGCUCGGCUUGUCCUUGCUGCGAAGGUCGAAGGCUCCUGAUGGAGCAAGGGGCUGAGCCCUCCUCCUGGGGGAGCAUUGUGUAAGGGGUUGGCAGAGGGGCUGGGGGGACUACUGUGAGGAAAUGACCAAGUGAGGAGUGAGCCCUGAGGCACAGCAAAGCUGGCCAACCCACAGGAAGGAGGAAGAAGCAGGUACACAGCCAGGUGCCUCAGAGGGGAGAGGAGACAGCCAUGGGCACCUGGCUGCAGCGGCACUGAAUCUGCCACAAUCCAGCCAGCCCCUGAGCGGCUGGACUUGAACAAGCCACAAGAAAAGACUUGGUCUGGAAUGCAAGGUGAGAGAAUCAGUUCAGGGUGCUUUUACUUCUCUUUCUUCUGUUUGACAGCCUUGUGCAGCUGGGAGUUGCUCCGACUACAGGUGAGAUGGUGUACUCCUCUGUGAGGCCAGGCCCUGAUGCGCCCCUCCUCAGUUUUCCUCAACCAUGAACAAUCUUCAUCCCAAGCCUGUCAGCUCUAAUAAGGCAGAGCUAGAAGAGCUGGUGUCACAAAGAGUACUUGGAAAUAGCUUCCUUUAAAACAGAACCAUUGAAACAGAAACAUAUGCCAGAAAACAGGAAAGGAAGAGGGGGGAGAUUUGCCCUUUAUGUGAGUGUACACCUGGAGUGUACGAAGCUCUGCCUGAAGAUGGAAAAGGAGCUGUUGGAGAGUUUAUAGGUUAGGAUCAGAGAAAAGACAGCCAAAUGUGACAGCAUAGUAGGUUUCUGCUAUCUAGACAGAAAGAAGUGGGUGAAGCCUUCUACAGACAAAUAGUAACAGCCUCACAUUCACAGGUGGUCCUACUGGGGACUUCAACCACCCUAAUAUCGGGAGGGACAAUACAGCAGGACAUAAGCAAACCAGGAAGUUCCAGGAGUGCAUUGACGAUAACUUACUCAAAGUGAUUGAGGACCCAACAAGGACAGGUGCUGUGAUGGACUCAACAACAAGGAGUAGCUUAGCUGCAGUGACCAUGAAAUGAUGGAAUUUAGGACCCAGAGAGGAAGGAGUGAGCAGGGCAAAAAGUGUGAUCACAGCCAUGGACUUCAGGAGAGCAGACUUUGGUGUAUUCAGGGAUAUGCUUGCAAGAGUCCUGUGGAAUAAGGCCCUAGAGGGAAUAAAAGCCCAGGAAAGCUGGUUAAUAUUCAAAGAUCACCUCCCCAAGCUCAAGAAAACUCCAUCCCAACAAAUUAGAACCC